rnacentral:lncRNA from 1 species
CUGAUAUAUCCUGGCCUCAUCCAUAGAACUAAACUUUCUUAACAUCCAAAACAUCACCCACCUGGUCUCUCUGAAAUGAGCCCAUGUCUCAGGAAUUGUCUGGGAAUUGCCUAAAAUAAUUGUGGUUUGUUCAGUGAGGACACUGGCAGGGGCUGCUCCAUGCCCCACUUCAUGCCCCAGCUGAGCUCUGGAGCCUGUGCCCUUGCCCUAGCUCAAAGUACCAGGACAGGCAAAACCCACUUGUUUAACUCUUAUGUCUCUAAACACUUCAAUUAGAUGCUUAGACUGCUCUAAUUAGGGUUUUUUUCCCCAGAUCUUUCCCAAGAAGGGAGAAAAGGAUGAUAUCCCAUCAGGCUGGGUGUCACAUCAGCCAUGAGAUAAAUGGGCUGCCUUGCACCUGUGGCUGGUGUGGGUGUUGGUCUGCUCAGAGCUUGUUGCAAACCUUCCUGCCAGUGGUGAAACACCACUCCUGGAGAUUCUGCAGCCAGAGAUGAAAUACAGGCUAUGUGACCCAUGAUAAAAUGAUUUUGCAGAGGGAAUUCAAAAUGAGAGCACUAUCUCACACCGCAGGAUGACAGUCUCUUCUCCUUCCUGUAGUGUUUGGAAUCCCCCACUUUUUGUACUAAAGGAGCAGAAAGCUGCUUGGGCUGUGAGGAAAACUCUGCAGAAUGCUGUACAUAUCCAUGCAUUAUCCAGUUUUUCUGCAAAAUAAAGCAAAUCUUGUCCAUAUAUCUGAAGAUAUCCAUACAUUAAAGAUUAUCACUGCAUCUGCAAAGAAUUAUGCAUACAGGACAAGGAAAAAAGGAUUUAUAGAAUCAUCGAGUUAAAAAUGCCAAAAGAUUUUUCCUCCAAAAGAAUGAAUAUUCCCUAUAAAGAAGGAGGAAUGAGAGCCUGGCUCUAUGACAUUAAUUUAUAAUAAUUCCGAAUCCCUAUCUGACAAAGAAUGCUCAGCAGAGCAUUUGCUUUAAAUGACAGCUUGAAAGGGUUUCCCUCUGGAUCAUGUAAACAGGAAGAUCCCCAGCCUGUCUUCUUCCUGUCUCAAAAAUUGUGAACUGAUCAAGGAAAAAUCAUGGAAGUGAAACAAACCUUUCCCCAAAUGUUUCAAGCCUAUUUUCUCCAUGCAAUGCCUGUCAAGUUCUUAGUAAAGCUGAAGGGAUUUAUUUGAAUUUGAAUCUGAGCAAGUACUGAACACCUCAUUUCAUCUUAAUUGCAUGGAUUGAAUUCUAUAGCUAAAAUGGAACUCAUAGUUGUUAAGUAAACUGAAAUGCUCCUGUAAUUGAUUGCAAUGAACCUGCAUGGUUUGUGUUUUAUUCAAAAAGAACUGGUGGUAUGUCUUGUUUUCUAGUGGAAGGUUCCCUGCCCAUGGCAAAGUGAUUGGAACCAGAUGGUCUUUGAGGUCCUUUUCAACACAAACCAGUCUGUGAAUCUAUGAGGAAAAAAAUAUCCAAAUAUAAUUGAUAUAACCAAACAAGAGCUAAAUGCCACCAAGAUUAAAAUAUUAUAACAACCAUGGACUGGAGCAGCCUGGGGCAUGUUUGUUGUAAAACAAAUAUCCACAUACAUAUGCACAACAUUUACUUUCAUAGAAGGUGUCCAUUUAGAGAUUUAUAACAUGCAGAAAACCUCCCAUUUCCAAUGGAAAAUUCAAAAUCCAUGAGAGCCUGGUAGGUGAGUCCAAUCCCUGUGCACACUCCCUGACCAUCUCUCUUGCUGUUGCACAGUUGGAUUUGCAGCUCCCAGCAGCUACAGAUCCCACUGGGAAUGUGCAGACCCCAAUCCCCAGGUCCCAUUCAGUGUUUCAAAUAUAGCAGCUUAUAACUGUGAUCAUCUGCAUUUUAUAUUGGGAACACACUCACCAAGGACAUGACCUGAUUUUUGUUAGGAGUAAAGGGGGACAUCAAAACUUCUUCCUCUGCUGCUGCUCCUUCUGCCUCUGUAACUUCACUGAGGUCACGAGAAGUUGGACAGGAUCAUAGAGCUGAGCUACCUAAAUGGCAUGGUGCUAAAAAUAUAUUUAUUCAGAAUGGCUAAUUAAGGUGAAUGACUACCAGUCUUCAUUAGCACUGAAGUGGUGUUAAUUUGAUUAGACUUCUGGCCUAGAUAGACUUGCAAGGCUUUAUGUUUCUAAUGCAAUUUCUCUAACGAGAAAGCAUUUUAGAUGAAAUGUUACCCAUCAGCGUCUUUCUUUGUAUAAAUAUUAAGUAGACAUUUGCCUUUUAGUGCUCUUAAUUUUUAGGGAUCAGGGAAACAGUGAAGAUGUGACAUCUGCAUUGCCUUGGGAUAUGGGGAGAAUGUGAGAAAAUAAACUUGCAAUUCUUGCUCCA